CACCAAACAACUAGCCCAAGAAACAAAAAUCAAAACUAAUAUAAUAACCCCUAAUGACUAAUAAUUAUUAAGCCAAAACAUUUGAACCCCUAAGUAAAGGCGAUUGAACGGGAACCCAGGAGCAAUAAAGCAAGUACCGCAAGGGAAAUGUUGAAAUAGCGAUGAAACAGUCCAGUAAAGAACAAAAAGCAGAGACUAAACCUCGUACCUUUUGCAUCAUGAUUUAGCAAGAAAACCUAGGCAAGAAGAAUCUUAGUCUAGUCCCCGAAACUAGGUGAGCUACUCCAAGCCAGCAUGUUCAUUCAGUGCAUACCCGUCUCUGUUGCAAAAGAUGUGGGGAGAGCUUCGAGUAGAGGUGACAAGCCUAUCGAACUUGGUUAUAGCUGGUUUUCUGAGAGAUGAAUAUUAGUUCAGCCCUUAAGAUUCUUCGCUCAAUUACUUUUAUAAACAAAACGGAUAAAGAGAAAUUUAAGGAGUUAAUCAGAGGAGUGACAGCCCCCUUUGACAUAAAAAACAAUUUUUAUAACUAGGUAAAGAUCAAAAUUAAAAAGGUUUAUUAUCUGCGUGGGCCUAAAAGCAGCCAUCAAUCAAGAAAGCGUUAAAGCUCAGAUAAAUUACCUCCAAUAAUAACGAAAAAUAAUUCUUAACCUGCUAAUUCAUAUCAGAAUAUCUUAUAACCCUAUAAGAGAAACCAUGCUAAUAUUAGUAAUAAGAGAGCAGCCUCUCUCCUAGCACAAGUGUAACUCGAAAUGGACUUCCCAUCGACAAAUAACGGCCCCAAUAAGCAAAGAGGGUAUAGAAAUUAAAACAAAAAACUAGAAAACUUUUCUAAAUAAACCGUUAACCCUACACUGGAUUGCACCCCCGGAAAGAUUAAAAGGAAGAGAAGGAACUCGGCAAACCCAAGCCCCGCCUGUUUACCAAAACACCGCCUCUUGUUACACUAAUAUAAGAGGUCGUACCUGCCCAAUGAUAAAGAUUUAAUGGCCGCGGUAUUCUGACCGUGCAAAGGUAGCGUAAUCACUUGUCCUUUAAAUGAGGACCCGUAUGAAUGGUUUGACGAGGGCUUAACUGUCUCCUCUCCCUAAUCAAUGAAAUUGAUCUCUCCGUGCAAAAGCGGAGAUUAACCUAUAAGACGAGAAGACCCUGUGGAGCUUUAGAUAACCUUAUCAACUAUGCCAAGAAACCCUAUUAAAGAACCAAAGCUAAUAGUCUGAGUAAGAUAUCUUCAGUUGGGGCGACUGCGGGGAAUAAAAAUCCCCCGCGAAGACUAAGAACACAACAUUCUUAAAACCUAGAAUUGCCUUUCAAAUUAAUAGAACUUCUAACUUUUACUGAUCCAACCCCUUGAUCAACGAACCAAGUUACCCCAGGGAUAACAGCGCAAUCCUCUUUCAGAGUUCUUAUCGACAAGAGGGUUUACGACCUCGAUGUUGGAUCAGGAACAUCCUAAUGGUGCAGCCGCUAUUAAGGGUUCGUUUGUUCAACGACUAAAGUCCUACGUGAUCUGAGUUCAGACCGGAGUAAUCCAGGUCAGUUUCUAUCUAUACAUGUUUUAUCCUAGUACGAAAGGACCGGAUAAAAGAGGUCCCUACUUUAAGUAAACCUCACUUAAAAUUAAUGAAAUCAACUCAAAUAACCAAAAAAGCAACACCUUUAAAGCUAAAGAUAAUAGCA
rnacentral:rRNA from 1 species